rnacentral:rRNA from 1 species
CGUAGGGCGCAAGCGUUGUCCGGAUUUAUUGGGCGUAAAGAGCUCGUAGGUGGUUGGUUGCGUCUGCCGUGAAAGCCUGUGGCUUAACUGUGGGUCUGCGGUGGAUACGGGCUGACUUGAGGCAGGUAGGGGAGAAUGGAAUUCCCGGUGUAGCGGUGAAAUGCGCAGAUAUCGGGAGGAACACCGGUGGCGAAGGCGGUUCUCUGGGCCUGUUCUGACACUGAGGAGCGAAAGCGUGGGGAGCGAACAGGAUUAGAUACCCUGGUAGUCCACGCCGUAAACGUUGGGCGCUAGGUGGGGGGUCUUUCCACGGAUUCCGUGCCGUAGCUAACGCAUUAAGCGCCCCGCCUGGGGAGUACGGCCGCAAGGCUA